CACCGGGCUGGCCCCGGCUCCCGCAGCCCCCCAGCCCCGUCUCUUCAUCAUAAUAAUAAUAACAACAGCAGCAGCGGCGGCAGCGGCAUUGCCGGGGAGCGCGGAGGGCGGCAGGCGAGAGGAGCUGCGGAGGAAUUCGGUUCCUUUUCCUUUCCUCCCCCCACUCCCCCAACCAACCCCCCCACCAGCACCUCUUUUUUUUUUUUUUUUUUCCCUCCCUUUUCCUUGCUAUAUUCCCUAAUUUUUUCUUUUAACCAAAAAAAAAAAAAAAAAAAAAAAAAAAAAAAGGAAAAAAAAAAAAAAAAAGAAAAAAGAGAGAGAGGGAGAUGUUUUAAAAAUGCAAGCGGCUUGCCCAGCUGCACACACCCGCCCUCCCUCGGCCGCCUCCCUCCCCCGGCUGCGCACACACCGCACGCUCGCACCCGCUCGGGUGUCAAACCCCGCCGGGCACCCAGCCUGGUGCGGGCACUGCCCCGGCCCCCCCGGCCGCUCCCAGCGCCGCCGAUCGGAGCCUCCCCCGCUUCCAAAUGGUGGACAGAAGGGCAAGCAGGAGAAGCUCAGCUCCUGAGAGAAGGCUCCAGACUGCUCCCUCUGGCUGCUCCAAGAAGCUGAACUUUCCCUGGAAGCUGUGCCUGGUGCUCCCAGGCCAUUACACACUUCUCACCUGGCUGCCCUGCUGGAAGCUUCACUUUUAGGAUGAAUUCUGCAAGAAAUGCUGUGAAGCAGCAGAAACGCUGAGGAUUGAGAAGGGUCCUCUCAGUGCACGAACUCAUUGGUGGAUAAAGUCACACUCACCUGGAUUCCAGCUCCUCCAGAACGGGACACGAGGUGUGCAAAGGAUCACAAAUUAAUCAGUGGACUUUGGUUUUGCUUUGGUGUGCUUGUAUCAUGUCUGAACAUGCAAAGAACUUGGUUUUCCACAAGGAACCCAGUAAAUGGCACCUCUGUAAAUCAGUGA